rnacentral:rRNA from 1 species
AGAAGUUCUGACGGUACUUGAGGAAUCAGCCUCGGCUAACUCCGUGCCAGCAGCCGCGGUAAUACGGGGGAGGCAAGCGUUAUCCGGAAUUAUUGGGCGUAAAGCGUCCGCAGGUGGUCAGCCAAGUCUGCCGUCAAAUCAGGUUGCUUAACGACCUAAAGGCGGUGGAAACUGGCAGACUAGAGAGCAGUAGGGGUAGCAGGAAUUCCCAGUGUAGCGGUGAAAUGCGUAGAGAUUGGGAAGAACAUCGGUGGCGAAAGCGUGCUA